rnacentral:rRNA from 1 species
CAUGCAAGUCGAACGAGAAAGUGGAGCAAUCCAUGAGUAAAGUGGCGACCGGGUGAGUAACACGUGACCAACCUACCUUCGAGUGGGGAAUAACCUCGGGAAACCGGGGCUAAUACCGCAUAACAUCCAUGUCUGAGAUGUCGUGGAUCAAAGGCGCAAGUCGCUUGAAGAGGGGGUCGCGGUCGAUUAGCUAGUUGGUGGGGUAAUGGCCCACCAAGGCAAUGAUCGAUAGCCGGCCUGAGAGGGCGCACGGCCACACUGGAACUGAAACACGGUCCAGACUCCUACGGGAGGCAGCAGUGGGGAAUUUUGCGCAAUGGGGGAAACCCUGACGCAGCAACGCCGCGUGGAGGAUGAAGUCCCUUGGGACGUAAACUCCUUUCGAUCGGGACGAAUAAAUGACGGUACCGGAAGAAGAAGCCCCGGCUAACUCCGUGCCAGCAGCCGCGGUAAUACGAAGGGGGCUAGCGUUGUUCGGAUUUACUGGGCGUAAAGCGCACGUAGGCGGAUCGUUAAGUUGGGGGUGAAAUCCUGGAGCUCAACUCCAGAACUGCCUUCAAUACUGGCGAUCUAGAGUCCGGAAGAGGUGAGUGGAACUCCUAGUGUAGAGGUGGAAUUCGUAGAUAUUAGAAGAACACCAGUGGCGAANGCGGCUCACUGGUCCGGUACUGACGCUGA